AUUCAAAGUUUAUUUCAAUCUUUUGUAUUGAAUACAAGACAAUCGGGUGAUUUAAAAACAUACAUAAUGAUCUCAGUAAGGUAAAAAAAAAAAUUAAUAAAUUAUAUUGUGAUCAAAGUUAGCCAUUGUUGCCAUCUAGAAUAAAGAUAAACACACAAGUCCAUACACCAUAUAGCGUUUAACAGGAAAGAAAUGUGUAAUCUCAGUCACGUGUCUGGUGAAGCAACAUAUAGUAUUUAAAUCCAUGAACAUCAAAAAGUAACAUGAUAAUCUUACAACACACAGUGAGCUCAGAAGAGGGCUUAUAAAAGCUUUAUCCAAGAUACUGUCAAGAGAAGAGGCCAAGGCUACCACAGUUAUCUAGGUAUGUAACCCUACAUUGUGAGAGUGGUCCUCUUGGCAUAACAAGUGUGAUAACAUGAGCUAUGGUUAAUAUUCUAACACAUGAAUAUAUACUGUAAAUCAUACAUCAAGGCUAAUGAAAGGCAGUGAUCACUGUAAGGGGAAGGGUCUACUUGUACAGUAAGU